CCCUUAGAUGUUCUGGGCCGCACGCGCGCUACACUGAUUCAUGCAACAAGUUUUGUCCUUGGCUGAUAGGCCUGGGUAAUCUUUGAACGUGAAUCGUGAUGGGGAUAGAUGAUUGCAAUUAUUCAUCUUCAACGAGGAAUUCCUAGUAAACGCAAGUCAUCAGCUUGCAUUGAUUACGUCCCUGCCCUUUGUACACACCGCCCGUCGCACCUACCGAUUGAAUGGUCCGGUGAAUAAUUCGGACUGCAGCUUUGAACAGUCCCUGUUCUCGGCUUGCGGAAAGUUUAGUGAACCUUAUCACUUAGAGGAAGGAGAAGUCGUAACA
rnacentral:rRNA from 1 species